rnacentral:rRNA from 1 species
CUACUGCUGCCUCCCGUAGGAGUCUGGGCCGUGUCUCAAGCCAAGUGUGGCCGAUCACCCUCUCAGGUCGGCUACGCAUCGUUGCCUUGGUGAGCCGUUACCUCACCAACUAGCUAAUGCGACGCGGGUCCAUCCAUAAGUGACAGCCGAAGCCGCCUUUCAAUUUCGAACCAUGCAGUUCAAAAUAUUAUCCGGUAUUAGCCCCGGUUUCCCGGAGUUAUCCCAGUCUUAUGGGCAGGUUACCCACGUGUACUCACCCUCCGCCGC